GUCAACUACAUCAAGUGUCAGUUGAUAUAUAUGUUUUGGUCAAAUACAUGUUUGUAUUUGCUCCUCCAAAAUUUGAAGGUCUAUGAUUCAAAAUUUCGCUUUUCCCAAAACAAAGUUAAAGAAAAUAUAUGAAGUCAAUGAUAAAUCUUAAAGUUUUACAAAGAAUAAUAAAUAGAAGUUAUUAAAUGUUGGUGGCUCAUCAUGCAAUGCAUUUGAGAAAGGCAUG